rnacentral:rRNA from 1 species
UACGUAGGGGGCAAGCGUUGUCCGGAAUUACUGGGCGUAAAGGGCUCGUAGGCGGCCAACUAAGUCGGAUGUGAAAUCCCCAGGCUUAACCUGGGAACUGCAUCCGAUACUGGAUGGCUUGAAUCCGGGAGAGGGAUGCGGAAUUCCAGGUGUAGCGGUGAAAUGCGUAGAUAUCUGGAGGAACACCGGUGGCGAAGGCGGCAUCCUGGACCGGCAUUGACGCUGAGGAGCGAAAGCCAGGGGAGCAAACGGG